UCUGGCACUAGAGGUGUUAGAGUAGUGACUGCUAUGACACACGUGUAUCAGCCAGUAGGUUGCAGAGAGGGGAAAGACUCUGCUGAGUGUUGUGACCUACAAACAUCUGAAUGACUAGUAGCCUAACAUU